UUUUGGAUUCCUUUCUCUGCGUGUUGAACGAGUGGAUUACUCAAAUCGAUGGAGCCAGCUAAACAGACUUUUUUGGAUAUAAAGACGGAUUUUAUCUAACAAAACGUCCAUGCAUGUUGCAGCUGGGACCCUUGGAAUUGCAAAUCAGAGGAAGAUUUUCAAAAAUUGUCGACAGGUGUCCCGCUGACGGGAAGCCUAGCCCUAAGAAUUAAGAUAAUUCAUUUCAGGGAAGAGACUUGUAUACUGCCCUGACAAAUGAGGCCUAUGAGGAGUUCUGACACGCUGUGUCGAAACUUGAUAUGUUGCGCCGUCUGGCCCCAGAAACUGCCAAUGGAACCAAGUGCUCACUCUGUCCCAAGGUUGCCAUGGAUUUCAAGCGGGCAACGCCAUCAAGUCCAAACCCAAAACAACGAAAUUGGACGAGACAGGGG
ensembl:lncRNA